UCUCCGUUGGUGAACCAGCGGAGGGAUCAUUACUGGAAUCGCAAGAUCCCACAACCCUGUGAACCUACCGAAACGUUGCCUCGGCGGGUGCCCGGCCCCCGCGCCGGGCGCUGCGCCCGCCGGCGGCCCCCUCCUCUGUCUCUGCAGCGUGGCAUCUCAGAGUCCCAGAAAACAAGUCAAAACUUUCAACAACGGAUCUCUUGGCUCUA
rnacentral:misc_RNA from 1 species